CCUACGGGUGGCAGCAGUGGGGAAUAUUGGACAAUGGGGGGAACCCUGAUCCAGCCAUGCCGCGUGUGUGAAGAAGGCCCUCGGGUUGUAAAGCACUUUCAGUGAGGAAGAACGCCUGGUGGUUAAUACCCAUCAGGAAAGACAUCACUCACAGCAGAAGCACCGGCUAACUCCGUGCCAGCAGCCGCGGUAAUACGGAGGGUGCGAGCGGUAAUCGGAAUUACUGGGCGUAAAGCGCGCGUAGGUGGCUUGAUAAGCCGGUUGUGAAAGCCCCGGGCUCAACCUGGGAACGGCAUCCGGAACUGUCAAGCUAGAGUGCAGGAGAGGAAGGUAGAAUUCCCGGUGUAGCGGUGAAAUGCGUAGAGAUCGGGAGGAAUACCAGUGGCGAAGGCGGCCUUCUGGACUGACACUGACACUGAGGUGCGAAAGCGUGGGUAGCAAACAGGAUUAGAUACCCGAGUAGUC
rnacentral:rRNA from 1 species